UGCCAGCAGCCGCGGUAAUACGAAGGGGGCUAGCGUUGUUCGGAAUCACUGGGUUUAAAGGGUACGUAGGCGGAUCGUUAAGUGAGGGGUGAAAUCCCAGGGCUCAACCCUGGAACUGCCUCUCAUACUGGCGAUCUCGAGUUCGAGAGAGGUGAGUGGAAUUCCGAGUGUAGAGGUGAAAUUCGUAGAUAUUCGGAGGAACACCAGUGGCGAAGGCGGCUCACUGGCUCGAUACUGACGCUGAGGUGCGAAAGCGUGGGGAGCGAACAGGAUUAGAUA
rnacentral:rRNA from 1 species